AGAACGAACGCUGGCGGCAUGCCUAACACAUGCAAGUCGAACGAGACCUUCGGGUCUAGUGGCGCACGGGUGCGUAACGCGUGGGAAUCUGCCCUUGGGUUCGGGAUAACAGUUGGAAACGACUGCUAAUACCGGAUAAUGACUUCGGUCCAAAGAUUUAUUGCCCAGGGAUGAGCCCGCGUAGGAUUAGCUAGUUGGUGAGGUAAAGGCUCACCAAGGCGACGAUCCUUAGCUGGUCUGAGAGGAUGAUCAGCCACACUGGGACUGAGACACGGCCCAGACUCCUACGGGAGGCGGCAGGUGGGGAAUAGUUGGACAAUGGGACGAAAGCCUGAUCCAGCAAUGCCGCGUGAGUGAUGAAGGCCUUAGGUGUAAGCUCUUUACCGGGAUGAUAUGACAGUACCGGAGAAUAACGCCCGACUACUCGUGCCAGCAGCCGC
rnacentral:rRNA from 1 species